rfam:Triticum urartu cultivar G1812 contig896802, whole genome shotgun sequence.
CUUCUACUCCCUUCGUCCGGAAAUACAUGUCCGACAAAUGGAUAUAUCUAGAUGUGUAUUUUAGUUCUAGAUACAUCCAUUUGUAUAUAUUUCUAAGACAAAAAUUUCUGGACGGAGGGAGUACCUC